rnacentral:rRNA from 1 species
GUCCACGCCGUAAACGAUGAGUGCUAGAUGCUACGGGUAUUGACCCCUGUGGUGUCGUAGCUAACGCGUUAAGCACUCCGCCUGGGGAGUACGGCCGCAAGGCUAAAACUCAAAGGAAUUGACGGGGGCCCGCACAAGCGGUGGAGCAUGUGGUUCAAUUCGACGCAACGCGCAGAACCUUACCUGGGUUAAAUCCACUCAAAGCUGGCAGAGAUGCCGGGGUGCCCUUCGGGGAAUGAGUGAGAAGGUGCUGCAUGGCUGUCGU